rnacentral:rRNA from 1 species
GACGAACGCUGGCGGCGUGCCUAAUACAUGCAAGUUGAGCGCUGAAGGUUGGUACUUGUACCGACUGGAUGAGCAGCGAACGGGUGAGUAACGCGUGGGGAAUCUGCCUUUGAGCGGGGGACAACAUUUGGAAACGAAUGCUAAUACCGCAUAAAAACUUUAAACACAAGUUUUAAGUUUGAAAGAUGCAAUUGCAUCACUCAAAGAUGAUCCCGCGUUGUAUUAGCUAGUUGGUGAGGUAAAGGCUCACCAAGGCGAUGAUACAUAGCCGACCUGAGAGGGUGAUCGGCCACAUUGGGACUGAGACCCGGCCCAAACUCCUACGGGGGGCAGCCGUAGGGAAUCUUCGGACAUGGACGAAAGUCUGACCGAGCAACGCCGCGUGAGUGAAGAAGGUUUUCGGAUCGUAAAACUCUGUUGGUAGAGAAGAACGUUGGUGAGAGUGGAAAGCUCAUCAAGUGACGGUAACUACCCAGAAAGGGACGGCUAACUACGUG